GGGCGGUUAGCUCAGCGGUAGAGCACUACCUUGACAUGGUAGGGGUCACAGGUUCGAACCCUGUACUGCCCACCA
rnacentral:tRNA from 1 species